GAUCACUGGUAUUCUGCAUUAUCCUCUGUGUGUAUGUGAGUAUAGAAAUGUUAGCGAGACAAUAACCAAAGAGCAAAUUGAAAAGAUGCCGAUCCAAUGCCAUUCUAGAGGGAAAACACUAAAUGACACAUUUGGUAUCUCAGGCAGAAUUUUCCCAGCUUGUCACAAAAUCUGUUUCCUCCACCUCUUACUGGGCACAAGGCUAGAAUUCCUACCCUGCUCUGCCGUUCCAGUCACAGAAGUGAUUCGUGCCUGGUGCAAAGAAAUAUCUCAUGGCCAAUUUUCCAUGCUCUUUGUUCUCCCGUCAGCUGAGGCAGGCAAGUAUGGCCUCCUUAAAGGACACACACUGAGGUGGUGGAGGCACAAGAAAAAAGGAGAAAAGAAUAAAAGCACAAGAAAAAAAAAAAAUCGCUUCUGGAGAAGACUCUUCACCAAUUCGGAGCCCUCCUUUGUGUUUUCUACGAGUGAAAUCCAGCUGAAUUCAAGAAGUUGUUGAGGAGAGCCUUCCCGGUGUCAUCUGAAGCCCAGUCUGUGCUGAGCUUCUGCAGGACACUUUCAGUUCCUUCCGGAACAAGUCAGGCCAGAGAAUAAAUGGAAAAACACCUGCCUUGGCUCACUAACAGUGGACUGGGAGAUAAAAGGUCCCUCCUGGGGAAGCGUCAGUCACUUUACAGUGUCAGCAAGAAACCAAGUCAAUGUGCAAAGGAGUUAUAAAUAAUUCCCAGGGCCUCCCACAAAUUGUUGGAGAAUGUUCAGAAAAAUCAAGCUGCUCCUGAUCACUCUGAAUUCCUUUCCCAGGUGUAGACAAAGGUUUAAUGUCCCUUAGCCCUGGCCCUUCUGGGCUCUCUGUUGGGGACACUGCCCUCUUCUCUUUCUGUUGAUCAUGUGACAAAGCCCCAGAGCACUGUCACACCUCCCUUUCCCCUCGUGGCAAUCGAUUAAAAGCAGGAAGACUUGACUUUCUCUGUGCCUUGACUUACAGUGUUUUGCAUUCUCAGCAAGCUUUUAAUUCCUGAUAA
rnacentral:lncRNA from 1 species